UACGAAGGGGGCUAGCGUUGCUCGGAAUCACUGGGCGUAAAGCGCACGUAGGCGGACUCUUAAGUCAGGGGUGAAAUCCUGGAGCUCAACUCCAGAACUGCCUUUGAUACUGGGAGUCUUGAGUUCGGGAGAGGUGAGUGGAACUGCGAGUGUAGAGGUGAAGUUCGUAGAUAUUCGCAAGAACACCAGUGGCGAAGGCGGCUCACUGGCCCGAUACUGACGCUGAGGUGCGAAAGCGUGGGGAGCAAACAGG
rnacentral:rRNA from 1 species